AGGGCAAUGCUGCAGCUACUGAGUUGUUCAAGGCUCUUUCAGCCCACCCUUGUGGAUGAGGUGGCAGCAAGAACCCCUUGUCCCAUGUUGUCCGAGCUUGGCCUGGGGAGGGUGCAGGAACUACACAGUCUCUGCCUUUAGUCCUGGCACUGGUGUGAGCCUUCAGGCCGCUGGCUAUGCCCUUGGUCUCAGAGCCCCAGUACCCCAAUAUCCUGGUUCUUGAGCGUGGCACCCUCCCUUUCCCGCUGUGUCUCAAACUGGUCUCUUACAGUGCAGGGUGCCCAGCAGGCUUAGGUCAGUCCCUCUGCUGGAUCACAGUGGGUUUGUGAGGCAGCUAUCCCUCCCGCCAGUGCAUUCCAUGUAUGUGGGGUCCCUGACUCCUGGAGCAGCCAAACUCAGUAGCUCAGUUCUCAAGAUGGCUCCUGCGGGUCCCUGAGAGAUGGUGUGAGAUCCUCUUCCAAGCAAGGCUACUGAGCAGAUCCCAGGUCUCUGAAUUGACAAGCUCUCCUGCUAACAGCCAGCAUUCCCUCUCACCUGCUCACCUCACAGGCUGCUCUGCACCUGUUACUUCGCUGAUUCCUUGUGGAAACGCAGGAGACCUACGUGGAAUUCGCUGGGAAGAGCUGGCUUUGAGGGUUAUUUGUGGCCGAAGUCUUCCCAGAUCCCUUCCCAGCAGCUUCACCGAGCACAACUUGUCUCAGAAGAGCAGAGCUGGGCACAUCUGCCAGGGUCUAAGGUCCCGGCACACUCCUGGCCGGGUCGCAGAUUCCCACGCUGCAUCUGUCUGGCCGGAGGUCUGCGAUUCCUCUCCUUCUCUCUCCUCUCCCCUGAGGGUGUUUCUGGUUCCUCUCUCCUCAUCCCCACUGCAGGGAGCAUCCUCGAAUUCGGGUUGGCUUCCCAUGGGCUGCUCCUCGGCCUCCUGCAUGUGGAAGCUUCCACUACCUUUUUCUUCCUCCUUCAUCUUUGUUCCUAGUAUGCU
rnacentral:lncRNA from 1 species